CAGCCAGGAGGGAGGUAUUGUUCCAGGCUGCAGAGAGGACUAUUACAUCAAGCUAAAGCAUCAGUAGAACACGCCUGACUCUCCUCCACCAGUCAUACAAGGAAAAUGGUCUAAUGUAUCCCAUCAAAAAGAGAGCUGGCACAAACAAGCACAGGUUACACCUGAAGCAUGAGGACUUGCGGCAAGUGGUGAACUUCAUCAACAACUACACAGAGGAUGAUGCAAUAGUAUUACCAGGACGCCACCCAGGACACAAACAUUUUGGUGAAAAGAUACUGCCAUCCCAUGUGACAAAAGCAGCAGUGUGGCGUCUCUACAAGGAAUCGAUGACAACAGUUGCACUGUGGCAGGGGUCAACAUUCCACGGCUGAUUGGACUGGAGGAUGAUACGGUGCUGGUGGAAAGCUAUUGCUGGCAACAACACCUGACUCCGCACUUCAGGCCGCUGCCACAGAUCAAGCAGUACCAGCACUUCAGCUUCGAUGCUCUGGAGCCUGGUGUUGUUGUCACCAAGGAGUGUUCGUACUCGGUCGGGACCAGGUUUCAGCUGCUGCGCAAUGCUGCCAUCCUUCCUCCCAAAGAUGGUCUGCCUGUACAAGUACCACAUGGACUGGACACAGCUAGACAAACGUAUCUUUUUGAGAAGAUCAGGGAGUUUUGCGGCGAAGAGGCUAUUGGGCAUCACAUGCCCUGCACCAAAGUCAAGGGCAGGACAGAAACAGGCUCUCUGAAUUUAGAUUCCCUUGUUCAUGUGUGGUUCGGACGGACCAGUCAUCAGCACUAUCUGCAGUGCCUCUAUUCACAUGACUCUCUCCUAACACACACGCCAUUCAUUGCUGCUACUAUUUGUUUUUUAUCCCGCUGCUCAGCCACUUUACCCCUGAUUGUAUGCGUUUAACUACCACAUCUAUCACUGAUAUUGCUAUUGAUAUUGUUCUUGUCCAUAUUGAAUAUUAUUUUAUUCAUAUUAACACUAUUUCUGAUAUUGCUACUAUGCAAGUAACCAUUUCGCUAUACCGUCCACACCUUCUGUAGAGACACAUCCACUUAGCAAGAUGUGUCGGGAUGAUACAGUAGCAUUUUUGUCACAUGAACCAUCAAUUUAAACAAGUGUGUCUGGGUAAGCGUCAUCUAAUAUUUAUAAAAUAUUUUUUAUCUGGACACGCUGUAUACCUGGAAAUUUUCCUUAUUGUAGGCUACUACUUUUGCCAUUUAUAGUCAUAAUCUUUACUACACUACUCACUGUUUAGCACAUGACCUCACAUGUGAAUCCUUAACGAGAUGGGUGGGGCUGGCUUAAGAGGGUGUGAACAAUGCUGAAUGGGUGUAGACCAAAGGAGUGCUCUCCAGUAGUAGUACCAAAACAUUCAAAGGCCAUUUUCUCAAAAUUGAGGUUACUAGUUUAUCAACUUUCAAAGCAGAAUUACUUUCCCAUUGUUCCUGAACAAUGUAGUGUAUGAUAUACCAUUUUGUAGCUCAGUGUCUCUGCCUUUAUCCAAUGUAAAAAACACAAUUUCAGAUUUUGCUACAUAAGACCGAAUCAAACAGCUGAAAGCUUUUUUUUCUGAAAUCUAAAGCCAUCAUCAUUAUGCUUAAUUCUAUGUAGAAAAAUGUGUAUAUUUUGUGCAUAUGUAAGCAUACCUCUUGAGCUGUCUGUAUCCUCCUGAUUGGUGGUUCUAUUUUUAAAGAAACUAAAUAUGCUUGUCUGCAUCUCUCAGUAAAAGACUGAAAGGAAUGUGAGUCUUAUUCAGGACAUCUAUUUAUUGCUUGCUUUUCUUAUGUCUACUAACAUUGCCAGCAGGCAUGCCAGCUAUGAUACUAAGACAAGUUAGCUACUCUAACUUGAUUGAUGGCCUUAAAUGGCUUCUUGGUUGCUAGUUGUGAGGUACAGAUAUUGGGAACCUAUCUUGGCUAGCUAAAGCCAACUUCACAAAAUGUCUAGGUGGCUAGUAGUAUUACCGGAAAACAACAAUUACAUUACAAAAAUCACAACAAAGACCUCAAACCUAAUGUUCAGACUGUUUAUCUAUGUACUGCUGUCACGUUGGUAUAAAGGGAUCGGGAGACAGGCGCAGGAAUGCGUAAUAAGGGUUUUUAUUGACCCAAAUUGGUGACGAAGACCAAACAAACACAUAUACAAAACACAGGGUUAAGACCCAAACAAAAGAGCGAGGAGUACCUCGAAUAAAUACUCAAGCGCACAAUGAUACCACAUGGGACGAGACCCAUAAUCAUCUGCGGAAUACACGUGGCACGAAAGCCAAACACAGCACAGGUACUCACGCGACCAACGGACAUUGUAACAAUAAUCAACAGGACAAUGGUGAACAAAGGGCACGCUUAUACAAUUUCUAACCAAUGGGAAUAGAGACCAGGUGUGCGUAAUGACACAGUUCCUGGAGGGAUCCGUGACAACUGCCCUUAAUAUUUAAGACCAUUUUACCCACUUGUGUUUUACCCAAUAUAAAUCAGAGCAUAUGGUGGUCUAUCCCAUAUGUGGAGUAGAUCUAGCUAUGUGCCUCAACUCCAAAUAAAUGAGAAAUAUAAGCACCGUCUAAAAACCUGAACAUAGUUGCAUGCACGCAACACAUAAUAUGGGAGGCGAAUGAAUCUCGACAUUAUACAACUUUUGAGGUCUGAAAAUGUUUGACAAACUUGUCAAAUGUAAAAUAAUUGACAGACCAGAGGGCACACUUCAUUCAUAUACCUCUCUGAAAGAUGCUAGUUGGAGAGUUUUGGAAGGUUGUCCAUACCCAUAGUGCAUUGCAGCAGAAAGGAAACACUGGCAGUCUCAUCUGAAAAAGGUUGAAUUAAUUGAAAACAGAAAAACAACACACCAUUCAAACCAUACUACAUUGAUAGAAUAAUGAAUGAUGAUAAAAUCUUUAUCAGCAUUUAGAUGGAAGAAAACUAACAUGAAAUGAUCUCGUUGACAUGCUAUGGCAAGGUGUUGUCUACUCUGCAUCACUAACCAUUACAAAUGAAGAAUUCACAUUCCUCAGCCUGUUGCCUUAAUGAUUUUGUCUCUGUGUGGUGAAUCUAAAGCUUUUAUAGUGUUUUGUUUGGUUAUUUCUGUAUUAAUGUUUUGAUAUUUUAUCUGUUUGUCAUAAUCCCCUCAGAACACACUUCAUUCUGUGCUUGAAGUCUUUGAGCAGGUGAUUGAGCUGAUAGAAAUUGUAACGUCUGCUUCCAGCUCGCACUCUCAAACACCUAGAUCCCCUGAACGCAGCUCACUCUCCAGAUCCCAAUCACCUGAAUUCUAAUCACCUGUUCACACACCUGUAUGUCAUUAUCACACACUAUUUAGUUCAGUUCUUUGCACCGCAUUGUUUGUUUUGUGACACACGUCUUUCAGAGCACUGGAUUUCCAGUGCUUGCCUCACUAACGACGCCUAUUGAAUUUCCUGUUACCUACCAAUUGCCUGAUCUCCUGGACUACGUUUACUAGCCUUUUCCGUGCCUGUACUGUUGCCCUUUUGGACCCCCUGCCUGCACUUGGACCCAGCUACCUGCCUCUUCCUGUGGUCCUUUGCAACAAACACCUGCUGUGCCCUGCGCUUGAAACCAGCGCUCUGUCUCCCCUCGUUUUCAUUACAGAAAUGAAUUCCUUAGAAAUUCCAUGUUGUGUUACUUACAACUGUUUGUAGCGAACACCUGUCUUGAGUGUACACGCUCCUUUUGUCACGCCCUGACCAUGGUAAGCUGUUUAUUCUCUGUGUUGGUUGGGGUGUGAUAGUGACUUGGGUGGGUCAUCUAGGUGAAUUUGUAUGUCUAUGGUGGCCUGAUAUGGUUCCCAAUCAGAGGCAGCUGUUUAUCGUUGUCUCUGAUUGGGGAUCAUAUUUAGGUAGCCAUUUCCCCAUGGUUAUUCGUGGGAUCUUGUCUACAUUUAGUUGCCUGAGUGCACCACAGUAGCUGCACGUUUUGUUUUUUGUCCUUGUUCGUUUUGUUUUGCUGCGUUUCGGUUUAUUAAAAAUAUGUGGAACUCUACUCAGGUUCCAACUCACACCUUCAAAUACGUAGAUCCCCUGAAUGCAGCUCACUUUCCAGCCCACUUUCCAGCUCACACUCUCAAACACAUAGAUCCCAUGAACGCAGCUCACUCUCCAGAUCCCAAUCACCUGAACUCUAU